GGCGAUGAAGGGCGUGCUAAUCUGCGAUAAGCGCCGGUAAGGUGAUAUGAACCGUUAUAACCGGCGAUACCCGAAUGGGGAAACCCAGUGUGAUUCGUCACACUAUCAUUAACUGAAUCCAUAGGUUAAUGAGGCGAACCGGGGGAACUGAAACAUCUAAGUACCCCGAGGAAAAGAAAUCAACCGAGAUUCCCCCAGUAGCGGCGAGCGAACGGGGAGGAGCCCAGAGCCUGAAUCAGCAUGUGUGUUAGUGGAAGCGUCUGGAAAGGCGCGCGAUACAGGGUGACAGCCCCGUACACAAAAGCGCAUGUGCUGUGAGCUCGAUGAGUAGGGCGGGACACGUGGUAUCCUGUCUGAAUAUGGGGGGACCAUCCUCCAAGGCUAAAUACUCCUGACUGACCGAUAGUGAACCAGUACCGUGAGGGAAAGGCGAAAAGAACCCCGGCGAGGGGAGUGAAAAAGAACCUGAAACCGUGUACGUACAAGCAGUGGGAGCACCCUUUGGGUGUGACUGCGUACCUUUUGUAUAAUGGGUCAGCGACUUAUAUUC
rnacentral:rRNA from 1 species